rnacentral:piRNA from 1 species
UGCAAUCAGACGUGCCUUCCACAGGAUGC